CGCUAUAGCUCAGUCGGUAGAGCGACGCAUUCGUAAUGCGUAGGUCGACAGUUCGAGUCUGUCUAGCG
rnacentral:tRNA from 1 species